rnacentral:rRNA from 1 species
GACGAACGCUGGCGGCGUGCUUAACACAUGCAAGUCGAACGGAAAGGCCCUGCUUGCAGGGUACUCGAGUGGCGAACGGGUGAGUAACACGUGGGUGAUCUGCCCUGCACUUCGGGAUAAGCCUGGGAAACUGGGUCUAAUACCGGAUAGGAGCCAUUUUUAGUGUGAUGGUUGGAAAGUUUUUUCGGUGUAGGAUGAGCUCGCGGCCUAUCAGCUUGUUGGUGGGGUAAUGGCCUACCAAGGCGGCGACGGGUAGCCGGCCUGAGAGGGUGGACGGCCACAUUGGGACUGAGAUACGGCCCAGACUCCGACGGGAGGCAGCAGGGGGGAAUAUUGCACAAGGGGCGCAAGCCUGAUGCAGCGACGCCGCGGGGGGGAUGACGGCCUUCGGGUUGUAAACUCCGUUCGCUAGGGACGAAGCUUUUUGUGACGGUACCUAGAUAAGAAGCACCGGCUAACUACGUG